ACUCCUAACGAUCCUCAAUAGGAUUUUCGGGUCUUUCGUCUGACAUUCCUUUUAGUUCUAUAUUUUCCGGGUUCUUAGUUUCUGAUAGUAGGUGAACUUUGUUGAGUGUUCCUGCUUCUUCAGUUUUGGGUCGGUAUGCCUUGCUUAUCUUUCAAGGCUGUUUGAUUCAAUGUCUUAGGCGCUCCACUAUUACCUUGUUUUGAUUAAGUUUGGAUUUUGACAAUGUAAUGAGUAUUAUGGAUUAUUGUUUUUGUUUUAAUUACUGAUGAGGAGUUUUAAACUAUCUUUUGGUUUCAUCAGUUUUGAAUAAUAUAAGAUUUCUGAAGAUUAUGAAA